rnacentral:misc_RNA from 1 species
AAGUCGUAACAAGGUUUCCGUAGGUGAACCUGCGGAAGGAUCAUUAUUGAAAUAAACCUGAUGGGUUGUUGCUGGUUCUCUAGGGAGCAUGUGCACGCCUUGUCAUCUUUAUAUCUCCACCUGUGCACCUUUUGUAGACCUUUCUAGGUCUAUGUUGCCUUUUCAUUUACCCCAAUGUAUGUUAAUAGAAUGUUGUGACUAUAAAAUCUAUACAACUUUCAGCAACGGAUCUCUUGGCUCUC